GAUGAAGAACGUAGCGAAAUGCGAUAAGUAAUGUGAAUUGCAGAAUUCAGUGAAUCAUCGAAUCUUUGAACGCACAUUGCGCCCCUUGGUAUUCCGGGGGGCAUGCCUGUUCGAGCGUCAUUAUAACCCCUCAAGCUCAGCUUGGUGUUGGGGCCUGCCAACUGGCAGCCCUUAAAACCAGUGGCGGCGCCAUCUGGCUCUAAGCGUAGUAAUUUCUCUCGCUAUAGGGUCCCGGUGGAUGCUUGCCAACAACCCCCAAUUUUCUAUGGUUGACCUCGGAUCAGGUAGGGAUACCCGCUGAACUUAAGCAUAUCAAUAAGCGGAGGA
rnacentral:misc_RNA from 1 species